UCGAGAAAUUGAAGAGAAAUAUAUGAGUAAUUCUUACAUGAAACAAAACAUUAAUUAAAUGAAAUCCCAAACUAACACUAAAUUUUUUAUUAUUUAUUCUAAAUCCAUGAUAUGUACAUUAUAUAUAUACAUAUAGACAUCAUAUAUACAUAUAUAUAUAUAUAUAUAUAUAACACUCUAUUAAAGAAUGAAAGCAAGCAGGUGCUGUGAAUCUAACGCAGCAAAUUGUCCAAUUUGACCUAUUGACUAUCGAUAAUUUCCCUUGAAGCUAUGUGUCCAUCAGUCGAAACCCGAAGCCACUCAUCUAAGCGGUGCUCCAUAUGCUCAAAAGAAAGCCUGCAAUUGCAGCCUGUCGAAUUCUCUGUUUUCUCAACUUCCUGUACUACAUGUUUUCCAGAGAUGACGUGCCUCACGUUGCUUCUUCCAUGUGGGUGAAGAGGAUUGUUUCGAUGGGUACCGAAUGGACAACCAACCCAUAUGAUCCAAGUCUUGCUUCCAACUGAUGGGUCUUUCUGUGGUCUCUCCUAGAACCUUCUUUGUUCGGUGCACCACUUGUCGACAAAUAAUUGGAAGCUUUCACUGAGAAGAGAAACAAACACAGUGCACUUUUCAUCCUUUCAUUUUCAAGAACAAAAAAAUCUACACAGCUCUAAUUUGGUGCAGGGUUUUGGCAUUUUUAUUUGUAAGUGCUUUUUUAUAUUCCAUAUAUUUUUUAAAUUUCAUGUUGUAUAUUAGAAAGAUUCUUUUGUGACCCAGAAAUUAAUUGGUAAUUGAAAUGUUUAGGGGUUAGGACUUAUAGUUCCAAGUAUAUGAACAUAGCAGUGGCGAGAGUUCUUAGGACGAACUUAAGAAUGCAUCACAAGUUAGGAAUACUGUUUCUUCAUUACAUUUCUUUACAAUUAAACGUGUGUUCUAUGCGGUUUGUGGCAACCAUUUUCAUUCAUGUUAUAUCCACACUUCGAAGUAACAUUACUGAUAACAUUAUCCAAUAUUUGAUUGCAUAUUUCAUGUUUGAUGAAAGCUAUAUGAUUUUUCUUCAUUUUCAUACUUGCUUUUUAAUUGAAAUAUUUUGUAAAAUCCAAGCUAAAUAUGCAUGGGCAGAGUUUAUAUGGUACUAAUGUUUUUAGGAACAUCAAUAUUAAAUUUUUUGGAACUUUAAUAUUGUAUAUAAUCUUCUAUUCCACAAAGAUCCAUAACCAAAAAAAAAACAAA